UACGGAGGGGGCUAGCGUUGUUCGGAAUUACUGGGCGUAAAGCGCACGUAGGCGGCUAUUUAAGUCAGGGGUGAAAGCCCGGGGCUCAACCCCGGAAUUGCCCUUAAGACUGGAUAGCUAGAAUCUGGGAGAGGUGAGUGGAAUUCCGAGUGUAGAUGUGAAAUUCGUAGAUAUUCGGAAGAACUCCAGGGGCGAAGGCGGCUCACUGGACCAGUAUUGACGCUGAGGUUCGAAAGCGUGGGGAGCAAACAGG
rnacentral:rRNA from 1 species